rnacentral:lncRNA from 1 species
UCCCCCUUUUGACAUUAACAAAAAGAUAAUUUCAUUAAUGAAGAAGGAAAAUUACAAUAAGAGUAAUUGAAAAUACAUUUCAAAUAAUGAAAAAUACUUUUCAAAUAAUGAAAAUACAAAUCAAGAACUUUCAUCGUCGUCGACAUCGUCGCUAGAAGUAAUUGCAGAAUAGACGUGAGAAUACGAAUAAUUGACAUGGUCAAAAUAUCCGUGGAUUUCGUCACUAAGUCAUCGCACAUUUCUUUCC